GAUCAUGGCUCAGGAUGAACGCUAGCGACAGGCUUAACACAUGCAAGUCGAGGGGCGAUCAGGAAGUAGCAAUACUUUGCUGGCGACCGGCGCACGGGUGAGUAACGCGUAUGCAACCUGCCUAUCAGAGGGGAAUAACCCGGCGAAAGUCGGACUAAUACCGCAUAAAACAGGGGUCCCGCAUGGGAAUAUUUGUUAAAAGAAUUAUCGCUGAUAGAUGGGCAUGCGUUCCGAUUAGA
rnacentral:rRNA from 1 species